ACAAUACAAUAUCCAUUUUCAUACAAUAUAAUAUCCAUUUUCUGACAAUACAAUAUCCAUUUUCAUACAUUUAUAAUUGUAGCACAAAGUGGUAUACAAAUUCUUCUCAUUCUUUACAGCAAUAUUGUCCAAAAUAUAAAAAAUUAACAAUUUUACAAUAAGUAAUGCCAAAAGCAUGUCCCAUGAAGCAAAGUGAAGGUAUCUUCUUUGGAAGAUAUGUCAAACAAAUCCUGGCUUUCCCAUUGCCUCCUCUUUCUUGAUUGCUUCAUCAUCAUAAUUCUUUUUUGAUUGCCUCCGUUACCUGCAUUAUAAAAGUUGUAAAAUUUGGCAUAUAGUUGUUGGAAAAAGAAUCAUAGAAUGGAAUUGGGAGAAUUUAAUACUUGUGUUCUCUCAUAUAAUAUCGGGAAAGUACUACGCAAUCCUAAAUUUUCAAAACAAUAGGAUAGGAAGCCUCAGACAGUCCCUUUGCCUCAGACUUAAAAAAUAAAUUCUGUGGCCUAUUGUUACUAGAAUAGGAAGCGAAGCGGCAAACAAUAAUUUGGGAAAUGCGACCAAAAUAUGAUCAAUCAAACCGGAAACUUAAGCGGACUCUUAGCAGUAAACUUUGAAAACAGUGCAGGAACAUAAUUUGGGUACCUACAUGGUAUGUCAAUACUUCAAUAGAUACUAUAGACAAACAUGAUGAUUGCUUAAUUAGAGUAAGAAAGUACAUGAGCGAGCUUUCGACUACUGGGCUCGCUCUUAGGGUUGUUAAUAUCUUGAUUACCAUGGUAAUUUACACACAGACAGGUUGGCUCUUUCAGAGUUGAUGUUCUUUUCAAAAGCAAUCCAGCUAGUAUCAAACCACGUGGUUCAAAUGAUCCCUUUCCUAUGCUGCUUUGCAACCUAUUAAGGGAAUAGGUUCAGUUGUAUCUUUUGUAUAUCAUCACAAAAAGAACAUAUGAAGCAAUACGAUAGCAUCAAUUGUUUGAGACAAAAGCGAAUUAAAGUAUUCUUAAGACUUAAAUUUUAACAAUUAAGGUUUGAAUACUAAUUUCAUGAAGAUUGGAUUACAAUAUUGUUGCCAAUCUUUAUCCAGUUUAAAUAAUAUAAGAGGAACAUUAAGAUACGAACAAACUAACGACAAUCUGAAUCCAGUUUAAAUGCAUAGUACAAUAAGUUCUUCAUCAAAGCACUAUCUUGCAAUAAGAUACAGCAUCAAGCUGUAACCAUCAGGAUCCUUUUCCCAGAGUUCAAGCAUAGAUCCCUUGCAAUUAUAUCUAAACAAAAACAAUUUAAACAACCUUACAACAAGAUAUCAUUCACAUCAGUUGUUAACAGUACUCUCUCCCUAUGCAAUACACACACAUUAACAGCUAGUGCUUAAAUAACAUAAGAGCAAUCACUUUGAAUGAAAUUGUAAGAGGUUAGGUCCUUCUUCAAUUUGAACCCCAUAAUAGCAAUCACUACUAAAACAAGACAAGCUUGACAAAGUCACUGAUAAAAUUGAAAAGGCAAAUGCUUGAAGCAAUGGCUUUACAUGAAUAAAAUUCAUUUGCAAGUUAGGUUGACAUGUAAAAAAAAUUCAAUUUCCAAUUUCCCAGCAAUAAGCUGAUUUACACUGUUUCACGCAAUGGGAAAACGUCUUCGACAUCAAAAACUAAGGCAGCCCCUAAUCCCUACAAAUUGAAACCCUAUUUUUUUAGAAAUGACCACUAAUUUCUACAAAUUGAGAGAGGGAGGGAGUGAGAGGGAGGGAGAGAGUGACCUUUGGUUGGCUGAUACGGUGUCCGAGUUAAAUCGAUUGUCUUCUUCGAUUUUUUUUGGAGCUGGGUCGUCUUCUUCGAUUGGGCGCUGUAGUCGUGGAGAGACGCCGGGAGGUUGAGUCGCCGAGUUGGGUCACUGCGAAUGGAUCUCGUCUUCCUCUCGAGAGUGGGUCUCUCGUUUACCUUUGUUCUCCCUCUUCCAGAGACGUGCUCUUCAAAAGUUUAGGAUUUUGUUUUGUUUUCUUUUUUUUUAUUGGGUUUUAG
rnacentral:lncRNA from 1 species